UGAGGAAUAUUGGUCAAUGGACGGAAGUCUGAACCAGCCAAGUAGCGUGCAGGAUGACGGCCCUAUGGGUUGUAAACUGCUUUUGUAUGGGGAUAAAGUUAGGGACGUGUCCCUAUUUGCAGGUACCAUACGAAUAAGGACCGGCUAAUUCCGUGCCAGCAGCCGCGGUAAUACGGAAGGUCCAGGCGUUAUCCGGAUUUAUUGGGUUUAAAGGGAGCGUAGGCUGGAGAUUAAGUGUGUUGUGAAAUGUAGACGCUCAACGUCUGAAUUGCAGCGCAUACUGGUUUCCUUGAGUACGCACAACGUUGGCGGAAUUCGUCGUGUAGCGGUGAAAUGCUUAGAUAUGACGAAGAACUCCGAUUGCGAAGGCAGCUGACGGGAGCGCAACUGACGCUUAAGCUCGAAGGUGCGGGUAUCAAACAGGAUUAGAUACCCUGGUAGUCCGCACAGUAAACGAUGGAUGCCCGCUGUUGGUACCUGGUAUCAGCGGCUAAGCGAAAGCAUUAAGCAUCCCACCUGGGGAGUACGCCGGCAACGGUG
rnacentral:rRNA from 1 species